AUGUACAUUCUUACAACAUAGCAUUAAUUCGUUGGAUCUCAUUAGAAUUCUGCAGUUAAGCACGCUCGGGCUAGAGUAGUACUAGGAUGCAUGAUCGCUUGGGAAGUCCUAGUAUUUUACAUG
rnacentral:rRNA from 1 species